rnacentral:lncRNA from 1 species
ACAAUACGAGGCAAGGCAGAGGGCAGGGACGUCCUUCGAAGGUGCGCUGGAGGGUCGCCUGCUGCAGCCGCACCCGCCGCGCGUGCCCCACGUUUCUUUGAACGGAAUGAAACGCAGAGAAACAUAAGAUCCCGGGAGAACGCGAGGGAGACGAGUGACCCCAACCCAGUCGCGGGGUGCCGGGCAGUUAGGCCAGGGUGCCAGAUAAGGUCUGAGGCAGUUGGCGGCGGCACCCCGGCCGUUGCUUGCCACCCGCAGCCCCCAGCCCUGCACCAGCCGCCGAUCCCCGAGCGCUCAGAUAAGAGGGUAGCGGCCCUCGCCGCCGUCGGGCUCCGCGGCGACCCCGCCUCGAGGGCGGCCAAGCACCGACACUGGCAGCACGACCUCCCCGGGGCUGAGCUGCUGCAGCCGCAUGGACUCCUCGUAGGUGGGCAGAUACUUGACCUCCUCGUAGCUGGGCAGCUGCAGGAAGACCGGCGACACUACACGCAUCUCGUGCUCUGAGGCGCAGGAGGGGUCCGAGCGCCCGCCGCCUCCCCGGCCCCGGCCGCCGCCGCCACUGUCCAGCAGUGAGUCCUGAGAGCCGGCUGCCGCCUCGUCGCGCAGCAGAGCGGGCGAGUCGUCGUCGUCGUCGGGCGGCCCCGCGCCCCCCAGCGGUCCGGCGCCCCCCGGAGGCCCGGGCCGCUGUCCCGGGCGCGCCUGGCCGCGCGGGUACCUGCGUGGACUGGGGCAGAUGAUGCGCUGCAGGAAAUAGCCGAUGGCGAAGAGCACCAGCAGGAUGAGCAGCCCGGAGAGCUUGCGGACGAACCAGCCCACGUUGUCCAGGAAGGCGUGCAGCGGCAGCUUGCAGCAGCGCACCGCCGUGGCGUUGGUCGCGUCGCAGCAGCGCUCCCGCUCGCCGCACGCCAGCUCAGCGCAGCCCCCGCCGCCCCGCGAGGGCGCCACCAGCGCCAGCGCCAGCAGUAGCAGCAGCGGCAGCAGAGGCGGCGGCGCCGGAGCCACCGACAGGCCCUCAGCAGUGACCCCGGGUCCCCACAUGGCCCGCGCAGACCUCGGCUAACGUCCGGGACGGGAGGCUGGGGAGUCCGUCCGCCCUCGCGUCCGUCGGCCCCUCCCCGGCGCUCCGCUCGGGUCCCGCGCGCGCCGCCUCCCGCGCCUCAGCUACCUGCGGCCGGAGCAGUCCUCACUUGGCCACGCUUGGGCGGGAGGAGGAGCCCGCGGCGCGCGGAGGCUGCGGGAGGCGGCUGCUACUGGCGGCCCAAGCAGCUUCCCGAGCUUCUGACCUUAACCUCUCGCGCCCAACCGCCCGGGCCGGGUGCAAGGCUUCCGGAGCCUCCCUAAAUGUCAGAGGCAGCCCGCGCGGGGCUGCCAUGGGCAUCUUGGCCCCGGCCGGCGCGUUUUUCCUCCCCCGCCUUGUCGCUCUCUGGGACUGGAAGGGUUAACGCUCUGCUCUCAGCCCGGGAGCCCCUUGAUCUUGAUUAAUUCAGCCUUCGCGCUUAGGCCCGCCAGACGGGCGGGGGCUCUCGCUCGCUCACAGAGAGAAAAACAGUAAAAGCAAAGGAACAAUAUGCAGACAAGAUUCAGCCGAGGAUCAGAUAAAAGCAAAGAUUUCUCCCUGAAGCAAGAGCAAAUGGGAUUCUUGGCUUGUCUCUCAUCGUGAUCCUGAUUGAAGACCACUGGACACAUCUGUCAAGACUCUAACCGCAAUCCAUUGGAAAUCACUGGAGAGCCAAAGAACUCUCUUUCAUUGUCCUGGCUGGAAGCACUGGAUUCCUCCUUUCAAAUGAACUAAAAUAUUUUCCAAGAUGUCAAGUCAAUCUGGGCAAACUUUCUCAACAUAACCAUCCCUACAUUCCAAUAUCCCUCUUUUUCAUUUUUCCUUUAAAAAUAAACGUGCAUUUUUUUCUCAAAA